GCCAGCCAGGAAGGAGGAGGCAGCCAGAGAGGCCUCCACUGUUCUCUGCAGCAGAAGACCCCCUGCUGCCAGUGGAGAGACCUCUGCUGGUGGAAAAGGGAAAUCUCAGAAUGUUGAUGACAGGAGAGGAACAGUUAAGGCCAGCUGGUGGUUGGAGAAGGAGAAGGAAGACUGAGAGAGGGAAUAAGGAGCUGCAAGCUUGAACUUCUCAGAUAUGAAGAAACAGAUGUGGAGGAGCUGGCCAAAAGAGUGGCAGGUGGUCCAGACUGCCCUCUGAAGAAAAGCUGGAUCUUAGUUCAAGGUGAACUCUGAAGAUGAUCAGAGGAAUGGGGGAAAAUAAAGGAACAAGCUAGACAUCAUUCCCACAAGAAUACAGAAGGAGAAGAUAGAAAACAACUGUUUCUACUAACGUAUGUGUAACCAGAUUCAACAAAGCCGUUAUGCAUGAGCAUCUCUUGAUUCAAACACACCUCCAGGGAAACGCAGCGUGUGGAGGAGUGCAUUUUAUCCCCGUCCUCCGCCAACUAUAUGGGCAGAAUCCAUUCAACAACUGAGUAUAUCCCCAGUCUGCAAUCAGAGACAAGAAACCAGGCCUUCUAUCUGAAACAACUGGCCUCAACUUCUCUCUAAACAUAGUGUAGUUCUGUGUUGAAACAGAGACUUAGCCAAGUUAUAAAGUUAAAUAAAUGGGUAACAGAUCUGUUAGACUAAAAGGAGAAGUUGCUCAGGAAGAGAUUUCCAGAUGGAAGUGCUACCAAGAGAAGCCCAUGGUUCAGUAGAAAACGGAACGCGCACUGAUAAUGAGAUCCUGCACAGCUUUCAAAGACCAGGACUACAAAGUAAAAAACUGAAGGCAAAGCCAACCAGAUGCUUCUUAUAUUCAGCAGACAACUUUUAAGACUCCAGCUUACAACAGGGUGAUCUGAGGACAGACUGGCAGCUCUGAAGUUGUAUUUCCUGCCCUUUGCAGAAUUCAAGUGGACUUCUAAAAUUAUUAUUUCAGGGUUUGUGGUUUAAUUUCCUUUGUUGUUUUAAUGUUCAUAGCAAAGAAAAGAAAGGAACAUCAACCAACAUUCUAAGCUGUUAACAUACAUCAAGAGUCUGAAAAGCAAAUCUUAACUUUUAAGAUACCCUUCUUUUGUAGGCAAAUCUCUGUGAAAUCUAGGUACAGGUUUAGGGGCUGCUGGUUAACCUGACAGUCAGGUAAGUUGGGUCAAUUAAACAAAGUUUCUUUGAAUAAAUGUACCAGUUUUAACUGAUUAAUUGAUUAAAUCUGCAUAUAUGUGCAUCUGAAUAAAACAGCAUUAUUUUGUUUGUAUAUGACAUCGAUGCAUUUCAUAGCAGGUCUGUGGGCGCCUGGAGAUGAAAUCAACUUGAUGGCACACUUUACUUUACAAUCAAAUAAGAGGCAUUCCAUGUGUGUGUGUGUCUGGGUUUGUGUGAGAGAAAGAAAUGGAGGAAUGGCUCUGUUAAAAUGAUAUUGGCCACCAGCAGUUUUUGUAAGUAGUUGCACUAAAACAAAGUUAUAGCAAUUGCUAAAUAGUCACAGGUAUUUAAAAAAUCUGCUCUCCGAUUAAUCUGGAUGUCAUUUUUUGUCUCUCAAAGGGGGUUUAAUUGAAAAAUUAGCCAAUUAAUCAACUAAACACUGCCCCCCUGGAGAAAAAUUAGAAGUGUCCAUUUAUGAAACACCUGGAUAAAAUACACUGUCUCCCCUAUGGGCUAGGGGGUGAAACAGGAAGAAAAGUUAAGUCAUCAGAGAACAAGCACACAUUAAACUAAUAAUGAUCACAAAAUGAUCACACUACCCUGAGCCAUUUUGGAAGGGCGGUAUACAAAUCAAAUCAAAUCAAAUCAAAAAAUGUCUCUAGUCUACACAUUCAAAGAACUACUAAAUAACAUAGCCAUUGUUCCAUGCAGAGUUGCAGAAAGUUUAAACAGCACUGCCUGUAGUUAAAUUUGGGGGCAUCCUUCCUUUUUCAAGGACUUAUUCAGAGGGUUGUUUUAGAUUAUUAGAUCCACAUUUCCCUGCUAAGGAGUAGAAACAUUUCUGCAGUUACAUUCUUUUUUUCCUUUUCUAUUUUGCACCUUCCUGUUCUCUUGAUUUCCUUUUAGAACUGUCUCUCACCAAAUAUUUCAGGGAAAAAUGCUAAAUAAAGAUCAC